rnacentral:rRNA from 1 species
UCGAGGAUCUUUGGCAAUGGGCGAAAGCCUGACCAAGCGAUGCCGCGUGGAGGACGAAGGCCUUCGGGUUGUAAACUCCUGUCGAGGGGAGUCCUUAUAUCUGGAGGAAGCACGGGCUAAGUUCGUGCCAGCAGCCGCGGUAAGACGAACCGUGCGAACGUUGUUCGGAAUCACUGGGCUUAAAGGCGCGUAGGCGGCUUACCAAGUCAGGGUGAAAUUUUGCGGCUUAACCGUAACAGUGCCUUGUAUACUGGUAGGCUCGAGGGAGAUAGGGGUCUGCGGAACUUCUGGUGGAGCGGUGAAAUGCGUUGAUAUCAGAAGGAACGCCGGUGGCGAAAGCGGCGGACUGGAUCUCUUCUGACGCUGAGGCGCGAAAGCUAGGGGAGCAAACGGGAUUAGAUACCCGGGUAGU